rnacentral:rRNA from 1 species
GACGAACGCUGGCGGCGUGCCUAAUACAUGCAAGUCGAGCGGACAGAAGGGAGCUUGCUCCCGGAAGUUAGCGGCGGACGGGUGAGUAACACGUGGGCAACCUACCCUGUAGAUCGGGAUAACAUCGAGAAAUCGGUGCUAAUACCGGAUAAUCAUUUGAAGUGCAUGCUUCGAAUGUAAAAGAUGGCUCCGGCUAUCACUACGGGAUGGGCCCGCGGCGCAUUAGCUAGUUGGUAAGGUAAUGGCUUACCAAGGCAACGAUGCGUAGCCGACCUGAGAGGGUGAUCGGCCACACUGGGACUGAGGCACGGCCCAGACUCCUACGGGAGGCAGCAGUAGGGAAUCUUCCGCAAUGGACGAAAGUCUGACGGAGCAACGCCGCGUGAGUGAUGAAGGUUUUCGGAUCGUAAAGCUCUGUUGUUAGGGAAGAACAAGUGCCGUUAGAAUAAGGCGGCACCUUGACGGUACCUAACCAGAAAGCCACGGCUAACUACGUGCCAGCAGCCGCAGUAAUAC